rnacentral:rRNA from 1 species
AUGACUUCGGUGAGAGCAUGGUGGAACGGCAACCUUCAAAUUUACCUUGGACCCCCUAAGGCGCUCGCCUCCGUUAUGAUGCUUAUCUCAUGGGAGAUAUGGACAGAGCGUAAUGCCAGAGUCUUUAGAAACACAGCCAUCCUUUCCACGGUCCUAAUCAGUAAGAUCAAAGCGAAGAUGUCUCUUUGGGCGAUGGCCGGCGCGAAGUACAUGAGUGUUGUAAUGCCGCGAGAGUAG